GCAGUCGUGGCUGAGUGGUUAAGGCGAUGGACUAGAAAACCAUGGGGUCUCCCCGCACAGGUUCAAAUCCUGUUGACUGCG
rnacentral:tRNA from 1 species